ACGUACAAACCCAUGGCAUAUGGAAGCACCCCAGCCAGGGACUGAGUCUGAGCAACAGCUGCAAACUACACCAUAGCUGCAGCAAUCCUGGAUCCUUAAAACCCAUUGUGUGGGGCGAGGAAUUGAACUUGUACCUCCAGAACAACCCAAGCCACUGCAGAUGUUUAUCUGGCAGCAAUGUUUAGAUUAACUAACAAGCCAGAGAGGCACUAGAGACAGAGAGUUCCAUUGAAAGCACACUAUAAUUAUAAGCAAGAAGCAAUGAGAGUCUCAACUACUGCUUAUCGACUUAAUACCGCCACAGCGACCCUGUAAGACAGCAAGGAAGAAGUUAAGGUUCUGAGAGGGUAAAUGGCCAUUCCAAUAGAGGAAGUUUGAAAGUUUUUUUGUCUAGUAAUUUAGCUAUGAGUUUUGAUGGCCAGAAAAGUAGAGCGCUGAGAGAAUCUGUAAUCCCAACUCUACAAACAAAACCAUCACAAUUAUAAUACUGAUGUGAGAGCAAAAAAAAAAAAAAGCCCCUUUAUUCACUGUAGAAAAGUUUGAUGGCUGGUUAACUGAAAAGGUCAGUUAAAUCGGGGAACUGUAAAUAAUGAUAAACCCUUAUCCAUUUUAUUUUUAAGUUAUUUCAAUAAAUAUUUUCUCUGGUCUUGUAUAAAAACUGUUCAAGAUCUUAAAAAAAUCCUAGAAAACUAAUCAGCUCUUUCUAACAACAUGAAUAUAGUCCUGAUACCAAAAGUGGGUGAAACAGCACAAGAGAGCUAUGGACUAAUCUCAUUUACAAACACAGAUGCAAAGGCCAUAAAUAAAAACCUCUAUUAGCAAGCAGAAUUCAACAGUGAAUUAAAAGAAUACACACUGUGAUAAAAUGUAUUCAGCAACAUGAGUUGCUCAAAACUAGGAUGUCUGAUUCUAUUACAUUGAUUAUUAUAUUACUUACAUAAAUAGAUGAAAGAGAAAAAACAUGUGAUCACCUUCAUAGAUGGAGGGAAAAACCUGGCAAAUUUCAACACCCAUUUAUGAUUUUUUUCCUUUUUAAAAGUUUUAUUGAGGUAUAGCUCAUUUACAAGGUAGUGAUCAUUUCUGCUGUAUGACAAAAUGAUUCAGUUAUACAUGUACAUACAGCCAUUCUCAGAUUCUCUUCCCACACACAGAUUAUCACAGAAAACAAGGUAGAGUUCUCUGUGCUACAGAGCAGGUCCCUGUUGGCCAAUCAUUCCAUAUACCUCAGUGUACACGUGCCAAUCUCUCACAAACUAGAAAUUUAAUCACCAAGCAUAAAGAAGCAUUUCCGUUAAAGACAAGAGAUAUAAAGAUGUCUUUAUCACUGCAGUUAUCAAAUACAGUAUGGAAGACCCUAGGAACUCUGUUAGAACAAAGGUGGAAAAAAAAAAAGACAUAAACAUGGAAAAGGAAAAAACUAAAACAGCCAUUAUUUGUACAUAUGAAUUUUACUUAAAAAUCCAGGACAGGUGUUCCCAUCGUGGCUCAGCGGUAACAAACCCAACUAAUAUCCACGAGGACGCAGGUUGGAUUCCUGGCCUCACUCAGUGGGUUAAGAAUUCAUCGUUGCUGUGAGCUGUGGUAUAGGUCACAGACAUGGCUUGGAUCCUGAAUUGCUGUGGCUGUGGUGCAGGCCAGAAGCUUUAGCUCUAAUUCGACCCCUAGCCUGGGAACUUCCCUGUGCCUCAGGUACGGCCCUAAAAAAAAAAGGAAAGGAAAAAUCCAGGACAAUUCACUGAUGAAUCUGAGAAGCAAUAAGAGUUAAAUCAAUGUACAAAAGAAUCAAAAGAUUUCCUACAUACCAAACAACAAGAUUUUUCUAAAUCCUAUUUGCAAUAGCACAAAAGAUUCUCAGGAAGAAAACUAACCCGCUACUCCCCCAAAGUAUAAGAACAUUAUGUAGAAAACCACAUUCAUUUAAGGAAAUAAAAGACUUACAUAAAUGAAGAGAAAGACCAUGUUCAAAAGUUGAAAGAAUCAAUUUGUAAACAUCUACUAUAUAUGUUCCUAUAUUAAUACAUAAAUUUGAUGCAAUCACUAUCAAAAUCCUAGUGGGACUUUUGACAACCUGAUUCUAACAGUCACAUGGAAGAGUAAAUGAGCAUAUGUUUGCACAAAAUUAACAAAGCUGGCAUUACCAAAAAUAUAAGCUAUAGUAUCAAGUAGCAGUGCUAUUACCAACAAAGUUAAGAGAGAGCCCAGAAACAGACUCGUGGGAAGCUAGUAUCUGUUAGAGAAGGCUUUACAAAACAGAAGAAAAAAAAAAAUCCCUGCACAUGUACACAAAUGGUGUUGGGAUAAUUAUAUUCCUCCAAAUAUCUUCAUGUCGUAACAUAAUACUAGACUGUUUAAAUAACUACAAAAUUUUUUAAAACUUAAAUUUAUCUGAAGACAAAAUAAGAGAAUAACCUUUUAAAUCCUAAAUACAGAAAAGUUCCUAGACAAAAAAUUUUUAAAAAAGGAAAAGAUGGACAAGUUUGACCACAUAAACAUUAACAAUAAAAUUCUUUAUAACAAAAGAUCGGAAGCAAAUAUUUUUGACAUUUAACAUAAAAAAUGUCAUCCAUAAUAUAAAGCAGAACACUUAAAACUAAAAAAAAAAAAGCACAAUACAUUAAUGGGUGUAAGAUGUCCACAACAAUUCAAGAAGAAAAAAAUCCAAAGGCAAAUAAACUUAUAAAAACAUACUCAACCCACCAGUAAUCAGAUAUGGAAAUUAAAGUAAGAUCUAGAAAAUGACUAUAAAUUAAAGCAAACCUUACACAACCACAACCCAAGUUAAGAAACAGAGCACCACCAGUAACUUAAAAGGCUCCAUCCAUCCUUACUUAAUCAUACCCACUUUCUUUCAUCCCUGGAGUAAUCGUAAUCCCUGCCACUCUUCACUUUUGUGAUAAUUAUUCCCUUGAUUUUCUAGUACCUAUAAUUUGUUUCCUGAAUAAUAUGGUUAAUUCCACUUGUUUUUGAACUUUUUAUGAACAGAAUCAUGUUGCAUGUAAUCUUUUGUGAUUUCUAAUAUUUGACCACUAUUAUGUUUGUGAGAUUCAUACCUAUUGAUGCAGGAGCCGUCUGUGCUUCUUUCCUAGUCUAUCUGAAUUAUGUUUUUAUUCCAUACGUGAAUACAAUAUGAUUUAUCUAGCCAAUCCACUACUGAUGGACAUAUGAAUUGUGUAGGUAUUUUGGGGUUAAGAGGAACAAGGGUGCUAUGAACAUUCUUCCGUAUAUAUGCUUCCUAGUGCACAUGUUGAUACAUUACUCUAGGACAAAGGCUAAUUCUCAAAGCAUGAUUUCUGGACCAGCAGCACCAGCAUCACCUGGUACCCCAUGAGAAAUACAAAUUCCCAGGCUCCAACCCACUCCUACUGAAUCAGAAACUCUCGUUGUGGGCCCAGCCAUUCAGCUUCACAAGUCCUCCAGGUGACUCUGAUACACACUCAAGUAGGACAACCCCUCUCUAGAGCAACUGUCUAGGAGUAAUGUUGCUACUUGUAGAAUCUAUUCUUUUCCAAAGUGGCUCUUCGAAUUCACACUCCCAUUAGUAGUGGAAGAGCUCCUACUGCUCCAGACCUUACCAAUGCUUGAUCCUGUCAGGUGUUUAUUGCUGUCAAUUUAGUCUGUAUAAAACAGUCUCUUGUGGUUUUAAUUUCUAUUCCCCUAAUUGUUAAUGAGGAUAAUGAUCUUUUCAUGUUUAACUGAUCAUUUAAAUUUUUUAUCAUCAAACGUCUCCUCCGAUUUUUGCCUUUCUACUUGGUACUGUCUUAGUGAUUCAGAGUUCCUUAUGUAAACUUUUCAUACCAUUUGUCCAUUCACUGUAUGCUGUGGUAGGCAGACAGCCCCAAUGAUCCUCACACCUCUUGGUAUUCAUGCCCUUGCACAACCUCCCCCUCCACCCCUGAAGGUAUUGACUUGCUUCUAUUGAACAGAAUAUGGCAGAACAGAUGGGUUGUUACUUCUAAGUUACAAAAAGACCAUCAACCUAAGUGCCCAACAACAGACAAAUGGAUAAAGAUGUGGUGUUUGUACAUACAAUGAAAUAACACUCAGCCAUUAAAAAAAAAGAAACAGAGUUCCCGUCGUGGCUGAAUGGUUAAUGAAUCUGACUAGGAUCCAUGAGGUUGCGGGUUCAAUCCCCGGCCUUGCUCAGUGGGUUGAGGAUUUGGCAUUGCCAGGAGCUGUGGCGUAGGUCGUAGACGCGGCUCAGAUCCGGAGUUGCUGUGGCUCUGGUACAGGCCAGUGGCUACAGCUCCGAUUAGACCCCUGGCCUGGGAACCUCCACAUGCUGCGGACCUAGGAAAGGACCUAGAAAAGGCAAAAAGACAAAAAAAAAAAAAAAAAAAAAAAAAAAGACAGAAACAAAGAAAACUUGCCAUUUGCAACAACAUAAAUAGACCUAGAGGGUAUUAUGCUUAAUAAGAAAAAGAAAGAAAUACUGUAUUUAUCACUGAUAAUGUAGACUCUAAGAAAUAAAAAUGAGUGAACAAAACAAACUCACAGAAAUUAGAGAACUCACUAGUGGUUACCAGUGGGAAGAGGGAAAGAGGGAGGGGCAAAAAAAGGGUAGGGGAUUAGGAGGCUAAAACUCCUAUGUAUAAAAUAAAUAAGCUAUAAGGAUGUAUUAUACAGCACACAGAAAAUAACCAAUAUUUUAUAACAACUUUAAAUGGAAUAUAAUCUAUAAAAAUUCUGAAUCAUUAUGUUGUACACCUGAAACUAAUAUUAAUAUUUUAAAUCAAACAUACGUAAAAAAAAAAAAAGAUUGUAGCUUCUAUCUUAGAAAGUCUUUCUCAUUCUCUGGAUCUUUCAUUCUAGGAAAAGGCAGCUGCCACACUAUAAGGUGGCCCUGUGAAGAGGCCCACGUGAGUGAAUUUGGAAGUGAAUCUUCUGAGGCUUGGCACAUGCACAUGAGGGAACACAGAAGUAGAUCCUACAGCCUUGAGAUAACUAGAGACCCACAGCUAACACCCUGACAGCAGCCUCAUAAGAGACCCUGAAUCAGAAUCACCCAGUGAAGCUGUUCUAAGAUUGCUGACCCACAGAAACAGUGAGAUAAACAUUUGUUUUCAGCUGCUAAGUUCUGGGAUAAUUUAUUACACAGCAAUAGGUAGCUAAUACAUUUGUGUUGCAAACAUCUUCUAUUCUGUGGCCUCUUAACCUUAAGAGGUCUUUUAUCCUCUUAAGGAGUCUCAAUAAAGUUUCCAUUUUUAAUGUAAUAAAAAUGUAUCCAUUUUAUAUAUAUAGUGUUUUUCAGUCUUAAAUCCUUCCCUCAGAGUUCCUAUUGUGGCUCAGCAGGUUAAGAACUCAACUAGUAUCUGUGAGGAUGUGGGUUGGAUCCCUGGCCUUACUCAGUGGGUUAAGGAUCUGGCAUUGCUGCAAGCUCCAGUGUAGGUCAUAGAUGUGGCUCAGAUCUGGCGUUGCUGUGGCUGUGGUAUAGGCUGGCAGCUGCAGCUCCAAUUUGACCCCAACCCUGGGAACUUCCAUUUGCUGCAGGUGCAGCUCU
rnacentral:lncRNA from 1 species